rnacentral:lncRNA from 1 species
AAGGAGGGCCGGCUGCCCUGGGACCGGAGCCCAGCACUUGGGACUUCCGGGGCCCUGUAGGAGCCGGGGUCCUGGCGAGCACUCCCCAGGCCUCACCCCCGGCCCAACCAAUCCAUGGCCACUGAGUUUUCCAGCCCUGAGAGUUCGGUCAGUGCUGGCUCUGACUUUGGGGAUUUUCUGAGGAAUGUUUCAUUCAGCCCCAUCUAGAACAUCCCUGGCGUUGGAGCAGCAGAAUGCUAAGAUGGGCUGGCUCAGUCUGGGAGCCAUGAGCAGAGGGAGGAGGAGGCCUGCGGUGCUUCCACGCGGGGCCUGAGAUGCUUGGAGCUCAGAGCAGCACACACUCCAGGUGCUGGACCACAGCGGUGAAGGACCUGCGGCCUCCACAGCAAGCUCUCCCGGAUUGGCCUGCGACUCCGGGAGCACUGGGUCGCGUCCUACAGUUCUCAGAAUCUCCCAGCCAGGGCCUGCGUGCGGGGCGUGCCCGGCUGGUUCUGUUGACCGAGGGUCAGCACGCAGGUGGGCAGGUGGCUUCCCAGCACCAAGAAGAGGACCUGGCCUGUGGGUCCUUCUGAGAGGCUGCCCUCAAGAGCAGGUAUGAGAGUGAGUGAGUGCACAGCCUGAAUCCGGCUCAAUGAAGACAAAGAUGAUGGUGAGAAAAGUGUCCAUGAGCCCUUGGAGAAAACCCUCUCCAGCAAGAGGGACACCUUAGCCACCUGUGGCCUGGCCCGGAUCACCUGAGCAGGCCACUGCCAGAGGCCGCGCGGGAGAGGACACGGCUGGCCUGGGCCCCACAGCCCUGCUGGGCGGCAGAGCUCCGGGUCACGGGCCUCACCAAGGUGGACAGAGACCGUCUUCCAGCAGACAGACCUGGUCCAGAUGACCCGAGCAACUGGGUGCUAGUGCAAGCGUUACAGGAGGGAAUGGGGGUGCGGAGCCCUGUGCGCCAGAAACCUUACAGAACCAGCUCCCGGGGGCCUGCGGAUUCACCCCAAAGCCAAUGAGGCCCUCCUGACCCAAGGGGAAAUGGAGAAACUGAGGCAGGACGGAGCUGACUCCAACCACCCCCUACUUCUCUCUCUGUCUCUCUCACACAUACACCACACACAGCACUCCCUCACACACACAAACCACACACA